rnacentral:ncRNA from 1 species
GUAAAACCGAAAACGAAGAAUAGUAGAUGAAUUUGUAAAUGUAAAGAGAAUGGUGCAAAGGGUGUGAGUACCUACAUUUAUUUUCAUUGAAUGGACUUCUGAGGGCGGGAAGAAAUUCGAAAGAAAAGUAAUGCCUGACGGAACCUUACCGUUAUAUUAGGACCAAUAUGAUAGUAUUGGAUGAGAGAGUGCUAAAUGCAAAUUUGGGUGGUACCGCAGAAGUUAUGACUUUUGUCCCAUGG